rnacentral:misc_RNA from 1 species
AGAUUCCUCAUCUGGAGCAAAGAAACACAAAACCUUGUUAAGAUGUCCAGUUUGUGUUUAUUCCACUGUCAUUCGCCAGAAUUUUGACAGACAUUUGCGGACACACUCAAAAUGUCGACCAAAAUAUACAUGCACAAUUUGUCAGAAAUCUUAUAGCCGAGAAGAUACUUUAAGAAGGCACUUCAAAGAACAUAUAAAGAAAUGUAGCUGAUGAUUAAACUGUUGAAACAUAUGUGUACAUCAUUCUCUUGUGACAUAUAAUUGACGCUCUGAUUCUCAAUACCCAAUAUCUACUAUUGAUAAGUAUUUCAAGUUUAAACGCCAAUGAAUUACAGGGGUUCAAGUAUUGCCUCUGUAUCACCUAAGGCUUAUAAUUGGGUAGUUGUUUAUCGUUGAAGAUGUCUUUCUUGUCGUCAAGAGUAUUUUUGUGUACUUUUGAUGGUGUAAGUUUUAUAGAAUCUAUAUUGGUCUUCGUUUGAUUGGAUGAUAUAAUUGUCCUUUAACAUAUCAUUACACUUUCUACACAGUAUUUGGUGCCCAUUUUGGUGUAUAUCAGAUGAAAUAUGAUUUAUAAUUCCUUACGGUGUGAAGUUUAAUAAUGAACAUGUCUGAUUUUUCCCAAAUGUUUCGUUUUGUUUAUGUAGGUAAAACAGGCAAAGUUUGGUCAAGUAAAGGCGGCCUAUUAUGUAAUAUAUGUGGCAAGGUCAUGGGGUGCAAAAGAAGUUUCAGGAGACACUUGCAGAUUCAUUCAGCGCACAAAAGUCGGUUCAUCUGCACUAUUUGUCAACGAUCUUAUUCUCGAAAAGAUAACUUCAUGAGGCACAAAUGUGAACCUGUAAAAAACAAAGAAAGAAAGUGAAUCAGACCCUGUUACAUUGGCAAAUAAAUGACCGGUUCUUCUCUCAUCAUUACGUGAAACAAAUGAAGAAAACCCUGGUGCCAGCAAACCGACAUUUAUGUGCCCAAUUUGUGGGCUGACAUCUUCUUUUAAGAGUAGUAUGAAAAGGCACAUGGCAAACCAUUCGAAAGCCAGACCUUUCAGAUGUGAGGUCUGCUUCAAGUCAUUUAAGCGGAAAGAUUAUUUGAAACAACAUGCACUGUGUCACACUGUAAAAGAUGUAGAAAGUAGAAAACGGGAGGAUAAGGGUGCCAAUGAUAACUAAUCCUGUCAAUUUAAAAAAUGAAGAAAUGUAUUGCAGACUGUAAACAGAUUAGUGUAUUACAGUGGAGUGAGAAGUAUUAAACUAUAAUAUUUAUAACAAUGUAAAACUAGAUAAUAAAUGGAUAAAAUUUUG